rnacentral:rRNA from 1 species
GUGCCAGCAGCCGCGGUAAUACGUAGGGUGCAAGCGUUAAUCGGAAUUACUGGGCGUAAAGCGUGCGCAGGUGGUUACGCAAGUCUGAUGUGAAAUCCCCGGGCUCAACCUGGGAACUGCAUUGGAGACUGCGUGGCUAGAGUGUGGCAGAGGGGGGUGGAAUUCCGCGUGUAGCAGUGAAAUGCGUAGAGAUGCGGAGGAACACCAAUGGCGAAGGCAGCCCCCUGGGUUAACACUGACACUCAUGCACGAAAGCGUGGGGAGCAAACAGGAUUAGAUACCCUGGUAGUCCACGCCCUAAACGAUGUCUACUAGUUGUUGGGGUAGCAAUACCUUAGUAACGCAGCUAACGCGUGAAGUAGACCGCCUGGGGAGUACGGUCGCAAGAUUAAA